GAUGAACGCUGGCGGCGUGCCUAAUACAUGCAAGUCGAGCGAACGGACCAGAAUCUUUCUUCUCUGAUGUUAGCGGCGGACGGGUGAGUAACACGUGGAUAACCUACCUAUAAGACUUGGAUAACUUCGUGAAACCGGAGCUAAUACCGGAUAAUAUGUUGAACCGCAUGGUUCAAGAGUGAAUGACGGUCUUGCUGUCACUUAUAGAUGGGUCCGCGCUGCAUUAGCUAGUUGGUAAGGUAACGGCUUACCAAGGCAACGAUGCAUAGCCGAGCUGACAGGGUGAGCCGCCACACUGGAACUGAGACACGGUCCAGACUCCUACGGGGCGCAGCAGUAGGGAAUCUUGCGCAAUGGGCGAAAGCCUGACGGAGCACAGCCGCGUGAGUGAUGAAGGUGUUCGGAUCGUGAAGCUCUGUUAUUAGGGAAGAACAGAUGUGUAAGUAAGUGUGCACAUCUUGACGGUACCUAAUCAGAAAGCCACGGCUAACUACGUG
rnacentral:rRNA from 1 species